UAAUCUGUUUGGGGCAGAUCCUCAUUUAAUUAUGACAGACUCACACCUGACUCCUUAUAAUCCCUCACUACUGUUUGAAAUUUUAAUUGAAGUUUAUUUUUAAGUCAACAA
rfam:Populus trichocarpa isolate Nisqually-1 chromosome 6, whole genome shotgun sequence.